rnacentral:misc_RNA from 1 species
GAUCAUUACUGAGUGAGGGCCCUCUGGGUCCAACCUCCCACCCGUGUUUAUUGUACCUUGUUGCUUCGGUGCGCCCGCCUCACGGCCGCCGGGGGGCUUCUGCCCCCGGGUCCGCGCGCACCGGAGACACUAUUGAACUCUGUCUGAAGAUUGCAGUCUGAGCAUAAACUAAAUAAGUUAAAACUUUCAACAACGGAUCUCUUGGUUCCGGCAUCGAUGAAGAACGCAGCGAAAUGCGAUAACUAAUGUGAAUUGCAGAAUUCAGUGAAUCAUCGAGUCUUUGAACGCACAUUGCGCCCCCUGGUAUUCCGGGGGGCAUGCCUGUCCGAGCGUCAUUGCUGCCCUCAAGCACGGCUUGUGUGUUGGGCUCCGUCCCCCCGGGGACGGGUCCGAAAGGCAGCGGCGGCACCGAGUCCGGUCCUCGAGCGUAUGGGGCUUUGUCACCCGCUCUGUAGGCCCGGCCGGCGCCAGCCGACAACCAAUCAUCCUU